GUAGGCAUUAUGAAGGUUGGUA
rnacentral:miRNA from 9 species